rnacentral:rRNA from 1 species
AUAAUUUUACUGUGAAACUGCGAAUGGCUCAUUAUAUAAGUUAUCGUUUAUUUGAUAGUACCUUACUACAUGGAUAACCGUGGUAAUUCUAGAGCUAAUACAUGCUAAAAACCUCGACUUCGGAAGAGGUGUGUUUAUUAGAUUAAAAACCAAUGCCCUUCGGGGCUCACUGGCGAUUCAUAAUAACCUCUCGAAUCGCAUGGCCUUGCGCCGGCGAUGGUUCAUUCAAAUUUCUUCCCUAUCAACUUUCGAUGCUAGAGUAGUGUUCUAGCAUGGUUACAACGGGUAACGGAGGGUUAGGGCUCGACCCCGGAGAAGGAGCCUGAGAAACGGCUACUACAUCCAAGGAAGGCAGCAGGCGCGCAAAUUACCCAAUCCCGACACGGGGAGGUAGUGACGAUAAAUACUGAUACAGGGCUCUUUUGGGUCUUGUAAUUGGAAUGAGUACAAUUUAAAUCCCUUAACGAGGAACAAUUGGAGGGCAAGUCUGGUGCCAGCAGCCGCGGUAAUUCCAGCUCCAAUAGCGUAUAUUAAAGUUGUUGUGGUUAAAAAGCUCGUAGUAGAACCUUGGGCCUGGCUGGCCGGUCCGCCUCACCGCGUGCACUGGUCCGGCCGGGCCUUUCCCUCUGUGGAACCGCAUGCCCUUCACUGGGUGCGCCGGGGAAACAGGACUUUUACUUUGAAAAAAUUAGAGUGCUCCAGGCAGGCCUUUGCUCGAAUACAUUAGCAUGGAAUAAUAGAAUAGGACGUGUGGUUCUAUUUUGUUGGUUUCUAGGACCGCCGUAAUGAUUAAUAGGGACAGUCGGGGGCAUCAGUAUUCAAUUGUCAGAGGUGAAAUUCUUGGAUUUAUUGAAGACUAACUACUGCGAAAGCAUUUGCCAAGGAUGUUUUCAUUUAUCAGGAACGAAAGUUAGGGGAUCGAAGACGAUCAGAUACCGUCGUAGUCUUAACCAUAAACUAUGCCGACUAGGGAUCGGACGAUGUUAUUUUUUGACUCGUUCGGCACCUUACGAGAAAUCAAAGUGCUUGGGCUCCAGGGGGAGUAUGGUCGCAAGGCUGAAACUUAAAGAAAUUGACGGAAGGGCACCACCAGGGGUGGAGCCUGCGGCUUAAUUUGACUCAACACGGGGAAACUCACCAGGUCCAGACACAAUGAGGAUUGACAGAUUGAGAGCUCUUUCUUGAUUUUGUGGGUGGUGGUGCAUGGCCGUUCUUAGUUGGUGGAGUGAUUUGUCUGCUUAAUUGCGAUAACGAACGAGACCUUAACCUGCUAAAUAGUCCGUAUUGCUUUGGCAGUACGCCGGCUUCUUAGAGGGAC